rnacentral:rRNA from 1 species
UACAGAGAACGAUACCCUCGGGAAACUGAGGCUAAUAGUUCAUACCCGUCCCAGGCUGGAAUGCCGGGACGCGCAAACGUUCCGACGCUGUAGGACGUGGCUGCGGCCGAUUAGGUAGACGGUGGGGUAACGGCCCACCGUGCCGAUAAUCGGUACGGGUUGUGAGAGCAAGAACCCGGAGACGGAAUCUGAGACAAGAUUCCGGGCCCUACGGGGCGCAGCAGGCGCGAAACCUUUACACUGCACGCAAGUGCGAUAAGGGGACCCCGAGUGCGAGGGCAUACAGUCCUCGCUUUUCACCACCGUAAGGUGGUGGUGGAAUAAGAGCUGGGCAAGACCGGUGCCAGCCGCCGCGGUAAUACCGGCAGCUCGAGUGAUGGCCGAUCUUAUUGGGCCUAAAGCGUCCGUAGCCGGCCACACAAGUCCAUCGGGAAAUCCGCCAGCCCAACUGGCGGGCGUCCGGUGGAAACUGUGUGGCUCGGGAUCGGAAGACCCAACGGGUACGUCUUGGGUAGGAGUGAAAUCCCGUAAUCCUGGACGGACCACCGAUAGCGAAAGCACGUUGGGAAGACGAAUCCGACGGUGAGGGACGAAAGCCAGGGUCUCGAACCGGAUUAGAUACCCGGGUAGUCCUGGCCGUAAACGAUGUCUGCUAGGUGUGGCUCCCACUACGAGUGGGUGCUGUGCCGUAGGGAAGCCGCUAAGCAGACCGCCUGGGAAGUACGUCCGCAAGGAUGAAACUUAAAGGAAUUGGCGG